UAUCGGAUUACUGGGCGUAAAGCGUACGUAGGCGGUUGAUUAAGCAGGAUGUGAAAGCCCCGAGCUCAACUUGGGAACUGCAUCCUGAACUGGUCAACUAGAGUACAGCAGAGGAGAGUGGAAUUUCUCGUGUAGCGGUGAAAUGCGUAGAUAUGAGAAGGAACACCAGUGGCGAAGGCGACUCUCUGGGUUGAUACUGACGCUGAGGUACGAAAGCGUGGGGAGCAAACAGGAUUAGAUACCCUGGUAGUCCACGCCGUAAACGAUGAGAACUAGCCGUGGGUCCCGUACGGGAUUGGUGGCGCAGCUAACGCGAUAAGUUCUCCGCCUGGGGAGUACGGCCGCAAGGUUAAAACUCAAAUGAAUUGACGGGGGCCCGCACAAGCGGUGGAGCAUGUGGUUUAAUU
rnacentral:rRNA from 1 species